CCAGGGCUUUUUUUGCAUUUAGCCCCCUGAAGAAUUUUUAUUUUAAAAGUAGCCCUAUCAAAAUUUAAUUUGCAAAAAUGGCCCUACUCCUGCCACGCAAGCGCCACGUCAGCGCCACGCGGGCGGGGCUGGGGGCGGUAGUUAAGUUAAACACGGUGAAUCAUUCACCGUGUUUAGACACGGUGAAUGAUUCACCGUGUUUAGUACGUAUUUUUUGUAGAGGAAUAGGGAGUUAGGGAUGUUAAUGGGGUAUGGAUAUUCAAAAUAUUAUUCGAACCUAAACCCGAAUAAAUUAUUUUAUAUACAUAAUUUAUUUUUACAUAUUUAUACAAUAUAUAAAAUAUCCAAUAAUUUUUAUUUCUUAGAUCUUCAUCCAAUCCAACGGUAUAAAAUAUCUAAUAAUUUUAAAAAUCUAUACCAUUGGAUUGAUGAAGAUCUAAGAAAUAAAAAUUAUUAGAUAUUUUAUAUAUUGUAUAAAUAAAUAAAAAUAAAUUAUGUAUAUAUAUAAUUUAUUCGGGUUUAGGUUCGAAUAAUAUUUUGGAUAUCCAUAUCCCAUUAACAUCCCUAACUCCCUAUUAUUCUAGGAAAAAAUACGUACUAAACACGGUGAACCAUUCACCGUGUUUGAACACGGUGAAUGGUUCACCGUGUUUAACUUAAUACACUGGCCCAUGCCCAGCCCGCGUGGCGCUGACGAAGCGCCUGCGUGGCAGGUGUAGGGCCAUUUUUGCAAAUUAAAUUUUGAUAGGGCUAUUUUUAAAAUAAAAAUUUACUAGGGGGCUAAAUGCAAAAAAACCCCUUUUCUCCAUUAUGAAGAAUUUGGGUUAAUUGCAUACAGCCCCCUGUAAACAUAUCGAAUAGCAGAUAUAUCUCUAUAAAUUUCAACUUUUAAUAAUUAUUCUUACAAAAGUUCUAAUGUUUUUAAAUACAUUCCUGCUGUUUGAAUCCGUUAGAAAAAUAUAGUUAACCACAAGUAAAAUACUUAAUCUUGAUUAGUGAAUGAGGUAAAUUGAUAUUUUUACACCUCUUAUAUUAUUUGUGAUGGUAGAAAGAAAAAAGAUGACCGUUGGAGACUUAAAGGAGGGCAUUUCUGCUAAUUUUAGCAAUUGGGAUUUUUGAAGGGAUAUUUAUGAUAGCAAAAAUAUCAUUUCACUUAUCUUCUAUACAAACUAAACAGCUCUCUAACAGUAACAAACCAGAGGAGUAAAUAUGAAUAUUACUGAAUUUUUUGCAGGGAUAAAUAUGAGAAGUUGAAUCCUUUAGAAAUAUAUUUGCUAUUUGAUAUAUUUGUAUAGUGCUGUAUUAAAUUAAUCCUAUAAAUUUGUAAUUUUUUUUUAGGGUUCUUGGAAAAGUG
rnacentral:lncRNA from 1 species